CAGAUUUUUGAAUAAAAAAGAAUCUGGUGUAUCAGGACCCAUGCACGCACAUACCAGAAAAAAAGUUAUUGACUAUAUUAGAACUAUGAAAAUAUGUACCAAGAAAGAAGACUUUUCUCAAAAAGUUAAAAUGUUGCAAGAGAAGAUGCCUUCCAAACAAAUAGCAGACUACUUGUUAGACAACUGGUGUACUGACAAGUGGGGAUGUCGAUGGGCCAACUAUGGAAGACAUUUUUUUCAUGAAGAUCAAGAUACAAAUAACUUAGUUGAAAGGUUAUUAAUACAUUUUAUUACUAUACACCUUAUAUUUUACAAGAUCGAAAUUUUAAGCAUCAUCUAAUUAUCAUCUGUUUGAUAAUAGUAACUAAGUAUAUUUUAUUUUGGGGAUAAAUUUUCUGAACUGUCUCUGUUUUUAUGACCUGAUUUAUAAAAAGUAUUACACUUUGUCUAAAUCCUACUUCUUCAUGGGUAACCAAAGACAUAGCAUGAUAUAAACUUUACAAUUUUUAACUAUAUGGAGAGGAUUUUUGCCGUUCUUUCAUGAUAGGGUUAUGCAAAUUUAAUACAAAUAUCAUAAUUGUCAAUGCAAGUCGAUAAUUACAUAAAAGCAGACAAAAUGAAAAAAUGUAGUCUAGCAAAACCUGAUGUGUAUGAGGAUAUUAAAACAAAAAAAUAUAAUGCUACUUAUAACAUUCAAAUGUUAACACAUUAAUAUUUUAUGUACUUUCUAUUUGUACAUUCAAAUAUAAAUCAUAAAUUCAAAGUCCUUAACAUUUUGUCAUUUUCAGGUUUUUCCUGGGCAUGAAAUACCAUUUCCUUGGUGGGUAUGCCAAUAGCAGAGUAGAGGACUUACUACUCCUUCUCCAUGGAAAUGUAACUAUGUUUUAUGACUAUCUGGAUGAACUCGCAAAGAUUGGUCGCCUGAAAAAUAUGGGAGGACAAAGGGGAGACAAAAGUAAAUUGACAGCAGAGAAUAUGCUCAAGGCAGGACUCGACCAAAUUGUGCAAUGGACUUCAUCCACAGAAUGCACUGUUCCAUCACAGACAGCAUUUGGGACGAUUUAUAAUGUGGACAUUGUCAAUGAAGUGUGCAAUUGUCCAGCAGCAACAACAAGAGGUAUUUUUUU